UACGGAGGGAGCUAGCGUUGUUCGGAAUUACUGGGCGUAAAGCGCGCGUAGGCGGCUUUGUAAGUUAGAGGUGAAAGCCCGGGGCUCAACUCCAGAACUGCCUUCGAUACUGGCGAUCUCGAGUUCGGGGAGAGGUGAGUGGAACUGUGAGUGUAGAGGUGAAAUUCGUAGAUAUUCGCAAGAACACCAGUGGCGAAGGCGGCUCACUGGCCCGAUACUGACGCUGAGGUGCGAAAGCGUGGGGAGCAACAGG
rnacentral:rRNA from 1 species